GAAUUAGAGGGUAGUGAAAAGGCAAUGGAACAUACUCUUAAGGAGGGGAUCGUUGGGGAGGCUGCUCCAUUGAAAAAAAGCAUUGCUCCCAAGAGUCCUGAAAAAGAGAGUACAGAUGAUGGUGGGGCAGGAGUAACAGAGUACAAUGAUGCAAACUAUUGGAGAGUAGACCAAGAAGUUGCAGUAUUGGAGUAACUGCAUGUGAAAAUUUGUUGUUCUUCAUUUGUACCUGGAAAUCAGCGCUGAUUGUCUGGAUACCCAUUUUCAGUUGGUGAGAUUUGUCAGUUGUGUACAGUAGAAUUCUCUUCUGUUUGGGAUCAAACAAUAGGCUAAUAGAAUGGUUGUAAUUGAUUAUUUGCUGUUACACUUUUUGAUGUUUUAUUAUUGUCUCGUAUUUUUUCAAUUAUCA
rnacentral:misc_RNA from 1 species